rnacentral:rRNA from 1 species
AAACUGGGAUUAGAUACCCCACUAUGCUUAGCCCUAAACACAAAUAAUUAUAAGAACAAAAUUAUUCGCCAGAGUACUACCGGCAACAGCCCGAAACUCAAAGGACUUGGCGGUGCUUUAUACCCUUCUAGAGGAGCCUGUUCUAUAAUCGAUAAACCCCGAUAAACCUCACCAAUCCUUGCUAAUACAGUCUAUAUACCGCCAUCUUCAGCAAACCCUAAAAAAGGGACAAAAGUAAGCUCAAUAAUAACACAUAAAGACGUUAGGUCAAGGUGUAACCUAUGGAGUGGGAAGAAAUGGGCUACAUUUUCUACCCAAGAAAAUUUAAUACGAAAGCCAUUAUGAAAUUAAUAGCCAAAGGAGGAUUUAGCAGUAAACUAAGAAUAGAGUGCUUAGUUGAAUCAGGCCAUGAAGCACGCACACACCGCCCGUCACCCU